UUAAGUCAGAAGUGAAAUCCAAUAGCUCAACUAUUGAACUGCUUUUGAAACUGAUUACCUAGAAUAUGGGAGAGGUAGAUGGAAUUUCUGGUGUAGGGGUAAAAUCCGUAGAGAUCAGAAGGAAUACCGAUUGCGAAGGCGAUCUACUGGAACAUUAUUGACGCUGAGACGCGAAAGCGUGGGGAGCAAACAGGAUUAGAUACCCUGGUAGUCCACGCCCUAAACGAUGUACACUAGUUGUUGUGAGGCUCGACCUUGCAGUAAUGCAGUUAACACAUUAAGUGUACCGCCUGGGGAGUACGGUCGCAAGAUUAAAACUCAAAGGAAUAGACGGGGACCCGCACAAGCGGUGGAGCAUGUGGUUUAAUUCGACGAUACACGAAGAACCUUACCUGGACUUGACAUAGUAAGAACUUUCUAGAGAUAGAUUGGUGUCUGCUUGCAGAAACUUAUAUACAGGUGCUGCACGGCUGUCGUCAGCUCGUGUCGUGAGAUGUUGGGUUAAGUCCCGCAACGAGCGCAACCCUCGUCAUUAGUUGCCAACAGUUCGGCUGAGAACUCUAAUGAGACUGCCUACGCAAGUAGGAGGAAGGUGAGGACGACGUCAAGUCAUCAUGGCCCUUACGUCCAGGGCUACACACGUGCUACAAUGGGGUAUACAAAGAGCCGCAAUACGGUGACGUGGAGCAAAUCUCAAAAAUAUCUCCCAGUUCGGAUUGUAGUCUGCAACUCGACUAC
rnacentral:rRNA from 1 species